GUGCUCACUUUGGCAGCAUGUAUACUAAAAUUGUGAAUGAUACAGAGAAAAUCAGCAUGGCCCUGAAUAAGGAUAAUACGCAAAUUCGUGAAGCAUUUCAUAUUUUU
rnacentral:snRNA from 1 species